rnacentral:rRNA from 1 species
CUCUUGCCAUCGGAUGUGCCCAGAUGGGAUUAGCUAGUAGGUGGGGUAACGGCUCACCUAGGCGACGAUCCCUAGCUGGACUGAGAGGAUGACCAGCCACACUGGAACUGAGACACGGUCCAGACUCCUACGGGAGGCAGCAGUGGGGAAUAUUGCACAAUGGGCGCAAGCCUGAUGCAGCCAUGCCGCGUGUAUGAAGAAGGCCUUCGGGUUGUAAAGUACUUUCAGCGGGGAGGAAGGCGAUAAGGUUAAUAACCUUGUCGAUUGACGUUACCCGCAGAAGAAGCACCGGUUAACUCCGUGCCAGCAGCCGCGGUAAUACGGAGGGUGCAAGCGUUAAUCGGAAUUACUGGGCGUAAAGCGCACGCAGGCGGUCUGUCAAGUCGGAUGUGAAAUCCCCGGGCUCAACCUGGGAACUGCAUUCGAAACUGGCAGGCUAGAGUCUUGUAGAGGGGGGUAGAAUUCCAGGUGUAGCGGUGAAAUGCGUAGAGAUCUGGAGGAAUACCGGUGGCGAAGGCGGCCCCCUGGACUAAGACUGACGCUCAGGUGCGGAAAAGUUUGGGGGACCCAUCCAGGAUUUACAUACCCCUGGUCGUUCCUCGCCUGUAAACGAUCAGGUCUAGGAGGUGGUUUUCCUUUAUGGUUGUUGCUUUCCGGAGCUAACGCGUUAAGUCGCCCGCCUGGGGAGUACGACCGCAAGGUUAAACCUCAAAUGAAUUGACGGGGGCCCGCACAAGCGGUGGAGCAUGUGGUUUAGUUCGAUCAAAACGCGAAGAUCCUUACCUUCUCUUGCCAUCCAGAGAACUUAACAGAGAUGCUUUGGUACGUUCGGGAUCUUUGAGACAGGUGGUGCAUGGCUGUCGUCAGCUCGUGUUGUGAAAUGUUGGGUUAAGUCCCGCAGCGAGCGCAACCCUUGUCCUUUGUUUCCAGCGGUUAGGCCGGGAACUCAAAGGAGACUGCCAGUGAUAACCUGGAGGAAGGUGGGGAUGACGUCAAGUCAUCAUGCCCCUUGCGAGUAGGGCUACACACGUGCUACAAUGGCCCAUUCAAAGGGAAGCGACCUCGCGAGAGCAAGCGGACCUCUUAACAUAGUCGUAGUCCGGAUUGGAGUAUGCAACUCGACUCCAUGAAGUCGGAAUCGCUAGUAAUCUGAUCAGAGUCAACUUUUUUCCCAUGUU